rnacentral:rRNA from 1 species
GAUGAACGCUGGCGGCGUGCCUAACACAUUCAAGUCGAACGGAGUUACUUCAAUUGAUCCUUCGGGUGAUUUUGUUUUAACUUAGUGGCGGACGGGUGAGUAACGCGUGAGCAACCUGCCUCUGCGUGGGGGAUAACGACUGGAAACGGUCGCUAAUACCGCAUAACGUAGUGAGAUCGCAUGUUCUUGCUACCAAAGAUUUAUUGCGCAGAGAUGGGCUCGCGUCUGAUUAGAUAGUUGGUGGGGUAACGGCCUACCAAGUCUGCGAUCAGUAGCCGGACUGAGAGGUUGAACGGCCACAUUGGAACUGAGAAACGGUCCAGACUCCUACGGGAGGCAGCAGUGGGGAAUAUUGGGCAAUGGGCGAAAGCCUGACCCAGCGACGCCGCGUGCGGGAAGACGGUACUUCGGAUUGUAAACCGCUGUUGAUAGGGAAGAACAAUGACGGUACCUAUCGAGGAAGUCACGGCUAACUACGUG